rnacentral:rRNA from 1 species
UACGAAGGGGGCUAGCGUUGCUCGGAGUCACUGGGCGUAAAGGGCGCGUAGGCGGUCAGCACAAGUCAGUUGUGAAAUCUCCGGGCUUAACUCGGAAAGGUCAACUGAUACUGUGCGACUAGAGUGCGGAAGGGGCAACUGGAAUUCUCGGUGUAGCGGUGAAAUGCGUAGAUAUCGGGAGGAACACCAGUGGCGAAGGCGACUACCUGGCCUGUUCUUGACGCUGAGGCGCGAAAGCCAGGGGAGCAAACGGG